UUAAUGUGUGAAAUUGGUAG
rnacentral:miRNA from 1 species